rnacentral:rRNA from 1 species
CCGAGUUUACAACUCCCAAACCCAAUGUGAACGUUACCAAACUGUUGCCUCGGCGGGAUCUCUGCCCCGGGUGCGUCGCAGCCCCGGACCAAGGCGCCCGCCGGAGGACCAACCAAAACUCUUAUUGUAUACCCCCUCGCGGGUUUUUUACUAUCUGAGCCAUCUCGGCGCCCCUCGUGGGCGUUUCGAAAAUGAAUCAAAACUUUCAACAACGGAUCUCUUGGUUCUGGCAUCGAUGAAGAACGCAGCGAAAUGCGAUAAGUAAUGUGAAUUGCAGAAUUCAGUGAAUCAUCGAAUCUUUGAACGCACAUUGCGCCCGCCAGUAUUCUGGCGGGCAUGCCUGUCCGAGCGUCAUUUCAACCCUCGAACCCCUCCGGGGGGUCGGCGUUGGGGAUCGGCCCUUUACGGGGCCGGCCCCGAAAUACAGUGGCGGUCUCGCCGCAGCCUCUCCUGCGCAGUAGUUUGCACACUCGCAUCGGGAGCGCGGCGCGUCCACAGCCGUUAAACACCCCAAACUUCUGAAAUGUUGACCUCGGAUCAGGUAGGAAUACCCGCUGAACUUAAGCAUAUCA